AAAAUUAUAAUAAUUAUAUAAGAUAAAAUGAGAUAGUUUAAUUAUGUGUAAUCAAACCAGCCCUAAUGAAAUAGAAAAUGUAUGUAAAUAA